GGCACGGCGUAGCAUGGCACGGCGUGGCUCGGCACGGCUCGGCUCGGCACGGAACGGCCCGGCAUGACGUGGCGUGGCGUGGCGUGGCGUGGCGUGGCACGGCACAGCACGGCCGGGAGCCGCACCCUCCGCGCGGGCAGGGCUCUCGCCUCGGCCUGCACGCCCGCUGCGGGCUGCUGCUGCGCCUACCGCGGGAGGCUGGGCUCGCUGCCCAGUAGCCGCCAGCGGCUCUGCACGGCCCUCGCCGACCUGAGGCGCGGAUUCCGCCGCUUCAGCACCGUGCCCGGAUGAGAGCUGGAGGCCGGCGACGGGCGGGUCCCGGGCCGCGCUGACGCCGCCGUGCCUGGCGGGCCCCCCACGCGCCGCCCGGUCGCCCGGCCCCGGUGUCGCCGCGGCCCCCGGUGGCGGUAGGCGCGGAGCCCGGCGGCGCGUCCCCGCGCACGGCCCGCUUGUCCCGGGGGCCGCCGCCUGACGUCUCGCCUCUCUCCCGGCAGACCGGGCGGCUCGUAGGCGGGGGGAGGCGGAGAGAGGCGCCGCGGGAGCGAUGGGCCCCGGGCCGGUGUCCUGGUUCCUCCUGCCUUAGAGCUUUCCCCCGGGACAGCUCGGCUGUUGCUUGAGACCCGAGACGCUUCUUAGAUGACUGGCUUACCUUUUGUAAGGGAAAGCGAGCGGUGCUUGUACAGUAGCUUUGAUGAAAAGACCAAGAUUUGAACAGAACACAGACAUUGCAUUUACCUUAGUUAGGGCUCUUUGGCCUAGCGCUGCCCAUAAACAGGCGAAAUGAAAUUUCCUACAGCAUGCAGGCACCUGCUGAUAUCUGGCAAUUUUCUUCCUUGCAGAGUGACGCAGAAGCAGCAUGCGAGACCUUUCCUGGUGCUGUGCUCAACACCACGUUUCCAAGACACUGUGCAGUGAGACAGCAGGGAGAUUGAUAGCCUCCAAAAGGAACUCUGUGAACCUCAGAGCUAUUGUCCAACGCACCAUCAGGACUUCAAAGUAGAGCUGCUGCAAUUUCACGCCAAGAGCAAGUCAUGGACUAUGGAGCGAAGGAAGCAGGACCAGAUCACUCACCUCAUGAAACGGGCUCCCCAGUAAUGGAAAGGAUUGUCAUCGCUGUUGAUUGGAACAGAAGAGGAAACGGAAAUUAUCCUCCUGCAGAUACAGUAGGGAUCCUCCUUUCCACCAAAGAGAGGAACAACUAAUGAGGAAACAGCACCAGUAUGGUGAAUGGAUUUCUUGUUUCACAGAGGAUCCUGCGUGCACCUCACACACCAUCUAUGCUAAGACAUAACAUAGACGUGGCCUGCCAUGUGUCCAAACCUGCUGAAUGAAUUCUUAAUACGUUAGAGGAAAAACUUCCAUGCACUGCAUCAGGUCCUUCGUAGCCUGAAAGCAAUAUGAAGAUGAACUGCGAUGGUUCCAAUGAAUUUCAAGAACAUGAGAUUUGGUGCUAGUAUUUUCAAUGAAGCAGUUGGAUGGUAAUCUGCACUGCAAGGACCAGAAGAUUUAGACUCAUGAAUGAUAAAACAAAAAUGAAAAGCAAAUUAAGGGAAUGUUCCAGGGAGGGGAGGAGGGGGGAGCGGAGAGGGGAGGAAAUGUACAGAUCUGUACUGGUCAUGCUGCCUGUAAUGUACUGGGAGGAAGAGCGAGUUCCUACAGCUGCUGUAAAAGCAGUUGCUCUCUUUGGCUGAUGAUUCUCAGUGUAACUGUCAAAACCACACAACCUCCAUGAGGAUGAAAUAAUGAUGAAACAGGCAAUGCAAGAGGAAAGAUGGUUCACUCCAGAGUUAGAGUGCAAGUUCUGUCUUCAUGGGAUUCAGUCGAAAGGAACUGCGGCUCUGUAAUAACAUUGGCUCUGGUUCUGUAAGGUAACUGCCCACUUGACCGUGACAGACUGCUUUACUGAACGUUUCCUCAGCUCUUUUGAAGCGACAGCCCAUCACUCAUACAUGCGCAGGGCUGAUGCCCUCCAACCAGUUGCUGAGGAGCAAACCCUCUUUAGAUGCUAGGAAAAGAGUGCGAUCACAUGAAUGUGACUGCAUAGGUCUGGACUAAAAAAAUUUGCAUGCAAAUUGACUUCCUUGAUGAGUUUGGGCAACUCUGUGCCUCCAGAUCCCGUGUGUAAAUGGUAACAGUUCUCAGGAGCUUGUGUUCAAGUGAGUGUGUUUAAGUACUUAAGUGAUGAUAUACAGCCCAGGUACUGCUUAGCCUUGCGAAGAGAAUUGUGCUUACUGCAGUAGGUGUUGGCAAGAUGCUAUGGACAAAUCUGCCAGAGCAAGAAGGAAAGGACCAAGGUGUCCAAUUUUUGCAUGUGUUUAAGCCCUAUGCAACUUUGAUGCACAAGGUUAACACUUCGGUUUUGGCUAAAACAAAAUACUGGCAAAGAUCUGUCAAGAAUUCACUUACUAUGAGCCUUAGUCACAUAUCUAUUUCAUCACAGGACCUGCUGACAUCACUAACCCAAAAAUCAGCCAGGACCUAUCUGAACCUGCAAAGAGCAACAAAGAUAAUGGAAACCAUGGAAGUGGUGCUAAAAGCUGAGGAAAUCAGAUCAGAGCUGAUCACUGUUUCUGCAGCUGUUUGAGAAGGUCAAAGGCCUGGACCUUCCACAGAAUUAGAGGAACUGAUUCCUGAGAUAUUAUACAUUACGCUGGUAAAUGACCCCCACAGGUCAGAGGUGGCCUAUACAAUUUCAAAUGGAAAGAGUGGUGAAAGCUCUGUUUGUGAGAGAUUGGUAAUUAACCAACUCUCUGAGGCCUGUAAUGAGGUUACAGCGCUCCUCCGCAUGUGUGCGGGGAGGGUGAAUAACCAAAUAACCUUGUACGUCAUGGGUCCCAUGCAGAGACACGUACAAGUAUGCAGAAAUCGAGAAAGACUAUUCCACUGCAGUCACAGGCUGUGCUGGCUACUGAAGUGUAAUGACUUGGCCAGCUCUUCACCAGAUGUUGAGCUAGGGUUCCUCCACCUGGCCACUUGCCAAGGCAACCCGAAAACACUGCUACAGCAUUCAGCUUUAACAUGGAAGGAAGAAUUUUCCCUUUCCUUUUUUAUCUACUGCAGAGCAUAAUUCAAAGCUGAGUUAAUGAAUAAUUUCCGUGGGCUUUGGGUGAAUAUUUAUAAUCACAGACUCAGAAAAAGAGUCUGGAAAGGAACUUGAAAAGAUCCUCUACACUAUUCUCUUGUACCAAGCUGGACUGGCCUGUCUAGAGCUGUUCUUAAAGAUGCCCAGUACAUAUGAUCUCUUCUUUUUUCUUCCCUCUCCACAAAAGUUGUUACCCUGUUGUAGAAGAAAUUGUAUUGGUCCUUGACAAAUCCAUCUGGGAGACAAAUAGCAAGCCUAUUAUUUUUGACACACUGACAGACAGUUUAUGCGUUCCAAAUUUUUCCUAGAGCUUGAAGUUAAGAUUACUUGCUUAUAGUCUUUCCUUUCUCAAGGCACACACACUGUUUUCUCUUCUCCAGGCUUUUCUCCUGUGAGAUGCUGGCUAUCAAUUCACUGAGUUUGGUGAAAUCUGUCUUUGCUUAGGAAAAGCAUAAAACCAGCAAAAUAGAAACAGCAGACUAAGGAUCACAGACUGACAACCACUACCAUCCAAAUUGUCCUUUAUGUUAAUAUUCUCAAAAAGCUGUACCUGUCAGCUACAAUCAGGUCUAGUGGAGCUUCCUCUCCUGUGGUUGUCAUCAUCUUCUGUACCAAGACAUUCAGUAACAUGUUCCACAAACUUCCCACACCACCAGUACUCCUGUAAUGAGGGAUGCCUGGGCAGCUGUAAUCUCCCACUGCUGUGCACUGGAUGAUUCUGCUUGGGUUUACUGGCAGGCAGCCUGGAACAUCAACGGCAGUGCCCAGUUUUCUUCCCUUUUAACAAUCACUCAAAUUUGUUUAGAAAAGAUCCUCCUACAAUCUCAAAGCAAGUAUACAAAUCCACGACAUAGAAGGCAACAUCUCUUCUUCUUCGUCUGCCAGUUAUUCCUCACAAGUUGCACACUACUGUAUUAAUAUUCCAGCCAUAGAAAUCAUCCAAACAGGUCUCUACUGUGCCACAGUUAUAAUUUGGAUCACAAUUAAAACCUUUCAGAUCCACUUGUUUAUUCUUAUAAUUUCUCACAAAAACAUAGAUAGAGAAGUUCACUGGACCAAGUCACUUCUUGGUUUUUUUAUGUCUUCAUUAUAAGUAAACCUCUUUGCCCCUAGUUUUUCUUCAGUUUAACUACUCUGUUUCCUCCUGAAUGGGAACUGCAAACAAUUCACUACAAAGUUAAAAAGGCUGCGUCCCAUCCACCAUUUUCCUUAAACUUCUCCAACCACUAGACUUUGAUUAGACUUUGAGCCAUAGUGAGAAUGAUUUUUCUCUCCUCCUUAAGCAUGAAGAGCCUCCAGUGUUUGUGGACAACUUGUUCACAUUCAGAAGAAUUCUGUCACAGCAGCUCCCUGCAGUAAGCAGAAGAACUAUUUCUUUUCAAAACCCAAGAAUUGGAUUGUGAAUACUCAAUGUGUUUGCACAGUUAUUACCCUUUCUGUUGGGCUUUCCGGGCAGAUGGGGUAGGUGUCUCUACUUGUGCAAACAAUCGACCUACAAAAGGUUUGCCUCAUUUUCAUGUACUAAUGUUUGAUGUGCAUGUUGGACUGUUCCUUUUUUGCAUUGGUUAAUUUGACCUUACGAUGCAAACUAAAAAGAAGGAUCUGUUCAAAAAGAAGCACAGCUGCCUAAAUGUCGAGUGGGCUCUCAGAAGUGCCACCCUUAGAGUGGAUACAGUCAAACAGCUCAAUCAAGGCUGAGCCAGCAACAGGUAAGAUACUGAAAUAAGAGCCUUCACAACAAAGUCCAUAGGAAGAAGCCAGAAGCUCGCUCAUCCCUCCUGCAGACCAAAGAAGCACCAAGGGAAUUUAUUCAAAAGCCAAUCAGCAUCUGUCCCCUCCAGGAACACUCCCGCUGUUUAAGACUUUCUUUUAUCAAAGUACACCUCUGUGGAUGCUCCUCACUGAGCAAUCACAGCUUUGCCCUCAGGGCGAGGAUGUGGCAUGAAUUAAUAAACAAAGUCUUCCACAACCCCUUUCAAAA